rnacentral:rRNA from 1 species
CAGCCGCCGCGGUAAUACGAAGGGGGCUAGCGUUGUUCGGAAUCACUGGGCGUAAAGGGUGCGUAGGCGGGAUCUUAAGUCAGGGGUGAAAUCCCGAGGCUCAACCUCGGAACUGCCUUUGAUACUGGGGUCCUUGAGUCCGGAAGAGGUGAGUGGAACUGCGAGUGUAGAGGUGAAAUUCGUAGAUAUUCGCAAGAACACCGGUGGCGAAGGCGGCUCACUGGUCCGGAACUGACGCUGAGGCACGACAGCGUGGGGAGCAAACAGGAUUAGAUACCCCUGUAGUCCCUGUCUCUUAUAC